rnacentral:tRNA from 1 species
AAGAUUUUAAGUUAUAAAAACUAAGAGCCUUCAAAGCUUUAAAAAAAAGUUAUUCUUUUAAAUCUUA